rnacentral:snRNA from 1 species
UGACUUCAAUGAUUCUUCCAGCC